UAACAUAAGAAUCAUCACACAAUUUAGAAUGUAAUUGCGUAUUUUUGUUGUAGGUUUUUAGUUGUCAAUAAAGGAGUAUAAGAAGUUUUUUAAAGAAUUUUAAUUUUUUUUUUUCUUGCAGCUACCGAUGAAAACAUUAAGUGAAACAUUCUAUAUUUUAUAGUUACUUAUUUUUGCUCUGAAUUCACAACAAGUACGUAGUUGAUUGAAAUUGGUGACACCAUCAUUACGUUUCUUCUUGUUAGCAGUCAAAUAUACAUAUACACAACCAGAUAGAUAAACCAAUUAGAUCACUGGGCAAUCAAUACAAAUAGGAUACAAUUUAAUCCAAGUCAACAAACAGCGUUACCCUGUAAAAGUACCUUUUUACACGGCGUCCCAAAACGAGCAAACAACAAUAAUCGAUUAACAUUAAUCAUGUUAACAAUUGGUCAGUGACAGUGUUCUUGUGAAAGAAAUGACUAAUGAUAGACAAUGAUGUUAACAUAAGAUACAGCUUGUACAAACCACUUAUAUGAUUCUUACCAUGUGUAGAUGGGCGAUGAAAGUAUGGAUAAGGUAGCAAGAAUCAUUUAAGUACUGUGUACAGUAAAUGGAUCCUUGUUAAUGUCAGUAAUUUUAGUUUUCGUAAAUCAAAAUGUAAGUGUAAAUAAUUUAGUGAAAAAUAGGAACUUGUGUACAAAUGAAGAUUAAGUAGACCAUAGAUCUGUACACAUUCCUAGCUUGUCAGGAAAGAACCAUGUAAUUUUGAAAAUCUCGAAUCACCUCCUUUAUCAAGGAUCACUCUUGGAUGCUGUACAAGGAGAAUGAGUGGACUCAUGAAUAUUAUAUGAAAGUGCUCGAGCCGCAAGAUGAACAAUGAGAAACAAUAAUAUGUCAGGGCAAAGCAUGUGGACAAAAGAUGCUCCGUUUCCAUCUCAAGUUUCCCAAGUCUCGUUACUUUGCAUGAUAUGUUGCCGUUAUCGUUAGAUAUACCAUAGAAGAACGCGUGGGAAUACCUCGACAUACCCUUCAGAUAUUUCUAUCUCUGAACUCACUUUUUCUUGAGAGUGAAGAAACUACGUCUCUUGGUCUCGGCUUGCGUUGGCGCGGGCAAGGUGUGUGCCCUGGAUGUGCUUGCGCCCGAUGCACCCUGCGCUGAUUGGUUCAGUGCCGUGACCCAUUCAUUCAUCUCGGUGUCAUCUUUGGCCUGGAACAAGAAGUCUGAUCCGCUUUGCGACCUGUAAAAUAUCCGUUCAGUAUUAGAAAAUUUUCUGUUCAUUAAAUAUCUACCUUUACCCCAACGCCUUCGAUUUUUCAAAUAUUAAAUUUUAAAACAUUCAACUUUACGAAUUAAAUCAUAAAUAAAGUUAAAAAUAAUACUUAUACAGAUAAUCUGCUAAUCAAACAUAACAAACCCUUCGUUUGCUCAUUGAACUCAUUUUUUCCUUAGCCUCUAGGUGUUUUCCCUUAGAAUACCAACCUUAAUUUUAUUCAAAAAAUUAUAGAAAAAUACAAAAUAGUGCAUUUUUAACAAUAUCAGUACAACAUAGAAGAAGGUUGCUGGAAGUUGUAGGUUUUAACGAAUAAUUGACAUUAACUUAAUGUUAAUAAUGCACCCAUUAAUAAUUUUGUUUAUUCAUUUAUGAUUUAUCUUAUGUUUACCCAGUCGACCUGAUAGUCUAUUUUUGGUCCGGGACUAUGGAUCCAUCCGUAAUCAUGAUUUAAUGUUACUACUAAUCCAUUAAUUAUCUAGAAGACUUACUUUACUCGGAAGACAUGUUUCCUCUUGGUAUAAUCAUUCGCCACGGUUAUGGUAGCGCCCCUGAGAUCUAGAGGAGCUUCUCCUUUAUAAGAUUGAUCAGGCGCAGACUUGUACGAUUUCUGGUCCGUGUAUGCGAACAGACUUUGCCCGCGAACGACCAUGUACACCUUGUGCCAGGACCGAUUAGAUGCCUUCUUCGUUGUACUCUCCCAUUCGUGCUUUCGUUGCAAUACACCCUCGAAUUCGUCGUCGGUGGGACUUCGUUGUUCUGAAAAAUGAAAUUCACCUUGAUAUAAUUGUUUCACAAUGGCUGGUCGAAGCUACUUUGUAAUACAGACAGACCCAAUCCCCUCUUGAACAUGUGUAGAGCACAGUGAUCGAUAACAAACUUUAAACAGGAAGAUUAUUGAAUAGUUACCGGGUACGUUAAAGGAUGCUGAAUGCAGUUCAUAUACCAAACAAACAUACAGUUUUAGUAGGAUGCAACUAAACUUAAUGUUAUUGUUAAUAAUAGUAUACCCUAAGUGAUUUAGUUUUAUAAAUUCUUCGGAGUAUAAGAAAAGAGAAAAAAAAAAAUAUCGUUCCAAUGCUGAAAAUAAAAGGAUUAGUGGUUCUCCGG